GGAAGGUUUUCCAAUUAGAACAUUAUUUUUCCGAUCUGUGGAUGAUUUUUAAAGCAGCAAAAAGCCAUUCUUCAGGGCAUGUGGGGAUUAUCUGCCAGUGAGGCCUUGGCUCAGCUUGUGCACUCGUGCUCUGGAGGCCUGGCCUGGGGCUGCUUCACAGCCAGAGACAAAAGGCAGUCUGUGUUCCGGGCAUCAGGUCACAGAGGCCAAGACGGAUUGCGGAGUGUUUCCUGGGCUUCUUCGAAGUACUAGUUUCAAAAGGUAGCGGGGGAGUUCAGCCUGCAGGGGUGGGAGAUGUGCACGCGGCCGAGGAGGCCUGCCUGUACAACCUCUCUGCUCCCAGAGGUGAGGCACUGUCUACAGGGCAGGAACUGCUUGGGCGUGGAUUCUGCACCAUGAACCUGAACUGGUCUGCCUUCCCCACCAGAUCUGGGUGCAGGUGGCAGUGUGGUGGGGAAAGGAGGUCCUAAAUGGGGCAUUUGAUGAUUAAGAAUAAGUGUGUAUGUCACACACUGGAGGGGCCCAGCCCCUAAGCCUGCAGUGCAGGUCAAGGGCAGUGCAGGGGCCUCACAGGCAAUACCCAGAAGGCAGGGUCUUGCUCCCAGCCACAUGGAGAGCUGGUUAUAGACUCAGAGGCCGGGCCUGAAGGUUUGGGGCUCCAUAGGGGCCACUGUGGCUACAACCACGCCUGGGGACCCCUGUCAUGAGGGGACCCACCCUGCUUGGAACCAGUGGAGUCACCCAACAAGUGGAAACUGGUUGAAGAGCUUAGGAGGAUGAGGUGUCAAGGCAGGCCCUAGAAAGAGGGAGGGCAGGGGGGGAUUAGGGUGCAAACAGGAGCCCAGCCCUACUCACAUGUGAACCUGAGAACCCCAACUGGAUGGGGGUUCCAUCCACAGCAACCGGAGCCCAAGUUUUAGUCCUAUUUCUGUCUCAGAAUGGCUGUGUGGCCCCUGUGGGCUAUGGUCCAUCCCUCUCUGGACCUGUUUCCCCAUCUGCACCAUGGCAGGGUUUGGAUCUGGCAUGGGUCUCCAGUACCUUCUGGUGUGAGGACACUCUGCCUGGGCUGGUUUUGGUUGUUUUCAGGUUCAACUUCAGCCUGAAAACUGUCAGGCCCUACCCGUCGUCCCCCUCCCUUACCUGGGAAAUCUUGGGCUAGACUGGCUUGCCUGGGUUCUGUUCCCAGCCCUGGAGACCUGAAUGGGCUCCUGGAGCCGAUGAGCCCUGCUGGCCACUUCCUUCCAGACUGCCGCCUGUCCCCCUGUCAUCUGCUUGCUUCCCAAAGAACUCGCCUCCAUUGCCUGCUCCUGGUUCCUGACUCCCCUCAGCAUAGGGGGUCACCACUUGCCCACUGCUGCCUCUUCCAGGCAGCCCAGACUGGCUGCACCCUCCAGCCCAUCAGUGUUAGAGGCAGCACUUUUAUCCUCAGAGCAAGGUCUUGCUGUGGGGAGACUACUUGAGCUGGGGGACUCCAGGAGGACUCUGCCAGAGCCUGGAGGGCUGGUCAGCCUUGGAGCUAGAGAUGGUGGUCAAGGCACAAGAGGAGCUGAGAGUAGAAAGGGACAGGGCCAAGCUCAAGCCAGGCAGGGGUAGAGCCCAGUCUGGGGGCAACCAGGAGCCACCAGAGUCUUGGCCCUCCAGCUCUAAUCCAAGGGGAAGUUCACGAAGGACCCAGUGUUCUGGCUAAGAAUGGAUGGCAGUUUACCAGCAAGGAGACAUCUUGUGCAGGGCCCUGGUGGGACAAGAGCACUCAGUGUGUCUGGGUCCACAUGACUGAGAGCAAGGAGUCAAAGAGGAGGCUGAUGAAGUUGGCAAGGGCCUCGAAGCCUGGCUGAGAUGGCUGGGGGUGGCCCUGGUGGGGGUAGGGGGGGCUCCAUUGGCACAGUGAGCAGGUGGGCAGGGCAGGGCAAGGUAGGGCAAGGCAGUCACCUUUCGAGUCAAACUCGUUUGCAGGCAAGAUCAGCUGCAGGGCCUGGCAGCCUGGCAAGGAGGGAGGAGUUAAGGAAAGGCCAAUCCCUCUGGCUGGUGCUGUCAUGGUGGGACUGACCCAGUGGGGGCUGAAUCACCUGGUAUGUAGGAAGAGCUGUGAGGCCCUGGGGCAACCCAGCCCCAGGCAGCCCUUGCUCACUGGCCAUUGUUGGCUUUGGACACCACUCUCGCUUGUGCUCUCUGGAGUGAGCUUUCCAUUUCCUGCUGGUGACCUUCGAGAGGGGGGGGCCACCCUCUUUCUCAUCCUUAUAUCUACUGCAUCCCUCUGACCUCUACCUUCUGCCUCUUUAAGUAAGGGGCUCUGGAAGGGUAAGGGGACCCAGAGAGGGGGUGAGACAUAUCCAAGGACAUAUAGUGAGUAUCAUCUUUAGGAGCUAGGAUGCCAAGUCAAAUCCAUGGUGACCAGCAACCUGAGAUCAGGGGCAGGGAGGUAUUAGAUGCUGGUCCCCAGACUGGAAGCAGAGAAACAUUUGUUGGCAAGAGAUGCAGAUGAGCUGAAGUGACUUUAUACUUUAGAUAUAAUCCCUACUCCCACACCCCACACAUAUAUUCACUCAGAUAUAGGGCCACUUCCUCUCUGCCUGAUAAAGCCCGAGAAGAGCAAGGACAGCUUCCUGAGUGUUGAUCACCUCCCAAUCCUCCCCAACCCCCCAUGUUGGUUUCCAUGUCCCAGUGAUGACUCAGACAGGGCCCUGCCCUCCCCAAGCUCACCAUCUAGAACAAUAAAAGGUGACAGCCAUUAUGCUUGAUUGAUGCAGUCAGAGGGAACUGGGGAAGCAUGGACAAGGAAGUGAUCUACUUGCCUGGGUGACCCGUGCAGUCAGGAGAGAAUUUACAAACACUUGAGGAAAGUUUUGAACAAUGACUAAGAGCUCACUAAGCAGACAAGGGGACAAAAGACAUUCUAGGGAGUCUGAGCACCAGGAGUAAAAGUGUCAAGGAGACAGGAUGUAUUCAAAAAUCGGAAGGAGGUGAGUGUGGCUGGAAUACAUUGAACCAAGGGAAGAGAGUGGCUGGGUCUGCAGCCAAAUCAUUGAGCCCCUUAAAGAGGUUGCCUUUUAUCUUGAGAGCAAUGGGAAGCCAUCAAAGAGCUACAGGCAGCUUUGGAGCCAUGUGCAAAGUCCUCGACUGACUUCUGUGUGGAGACUGGAUGGGGAGGAAGGCAAGACCAGAGGCAGGGAAAACAAUGAAGAGGCUUGGACUAGGUGGCGGCAGUGGGCGUGGAGAGAAGCAGAUGGAUUGGAGGACCCUUGGGACCUAGAUUCAGCACUGUUUGUUGAAGGAGAACCCGUUGCUCCAUGGUUUGGAUGCUCUCAUCCUCAUAGACCAUCUCCUUGCCAAUUCUGUGUGGUCUCUUGGAGAGAGAAGCCCCACAGGUAAGGGUAGGGGCUUCUUCUGACACUCAGUCCAUCCUAGCCCCUAGCCCAGUGCCUUCACUGUCACUAGUACUCAGCAAGCAUAACAAUGACACAAGUACACAAAAAGCAGGAAUGAAUGAAUGACACUCAUGAAACCGCACUGGACCUCUGGAUCUGGCUGUGUCCCCCCACGGAGUCUGCGGGGAUGCCCUGGCUAGGCGGACAGGGUGUUCGCUGCAGUGCCUUUGGAACCCCAAGUUUCCCAGGAGGGUUUCCCAGCGUGAGAACUCAGGCGCCGCCGGGUAGUAGGCUCUCUGCCUUUCCUCUCCUUUCCAGCCUCCGGGACUUCCUGCAUGAUCUGAGCCGACAGCCCCCAGUCCCCCUCCCCACCCCUGU
rnacentral:lncRNA from 1 species